CAUAAAAUAUCAUGCGAUUAAUUAACUUUGAAGUUUUUUCUCUUGGAUUUUUAUUACCAAAUAGCGCUUACAUCAUUUAUUCGGUUAAACUAGGUUCGUGGUUACAGUUGUCCAACGAGAAGAUUGGUGCACGGAUCGAAAUAAAAAGUUGCGCACGGUUCACGUGGACGUUAGAUACCUGUACACGCUACGCCGAUAAAUUGCUUCGAAUUAUCUGCACGCUCAUCACUAGCACUUCCUUUCUUCGUCGAGCAGCGACCGUCUGUAUAGUGCAUGCAGAUAAAUUCUAACGAUUAUAUGCAAUUUCUCUGCGACAUUAACGAACGUAGAAUCGGAAGUUCGAACGUACUAUAGUGCACUGUGAGAUAUUCAUCGAGAACUACUCUGCCUCGAACGAAACCGAUUUGCUGCUGCUUUCGAAGAAAAAAGAAAAAGAAUGAAAAAGAUCAGAAAGGAAGCAAUUCUCUUUUUUCCUUUCCUUCUCAAGUUUAUUGAUAUUUUCAACCAUUGGUUAUUGACGUUUCUAACCUAAAUUUUCAAUUUUAACGAUCUUAUAAAAUCUAUUAUAUAAUUUCUCUAUAAAAAUAAUGUAUCAAAUUAUAAAAAUCAAAGUUGACAAUUUAGUUAAUCUGAAAAUUCUUAGACGUUCUUAAUAGACAUCUUUAACAAUUAUGGAAUGUUGUAUGAAAGCAUAUCGAAAUCUUCAGAAAGAAUUCCAAUCGAUACGAAAAUCAAACCAAUAUUAAACCAAAUCGAAAUCGAGAGGUUUGCAAUUAAAACGCCAGAAUGAAAAUAUCGUUAAAAUAUAAUAUGCUUUUCACACGAGGAAGAAUAAGAGAAGUAAGAACUAGAAUCACGAAGGAAGAAACGUUGACAAGGGACGUGGUGGAAAGGUCAAUGACGUUCAUACUCGUGAUCGAUAAUAUAAUAAUUACGUUCUGAUCUAGAUUAUAUCCCUGAACAAUGCGGCGUAUUAUCUUUGAUGACGUUCUAAGCAACAAAACUAUCGUGUUCUCAUAUACGUGUUCAUCUAUAUUAUAGAAGAGGAAGAAAACAUCGUUAAAUUUCUAAUUUGAAUGUUCGAUCAAAUGCAGAUUGUUCAAAUAAUUGUUCAAAUAAUUAUUCUCCAUAUUAACUCAAAAAAUUCUUUGUUUUGAGCAACGAACAGAAGAAUAUAAUUUUCCUACAAAUGAAAAAGGAUCGAAAUCCUCUCUAUGAAAGAGAUAGUAUAAUUAACGAAGACAAUGAAUUUCACGGAUCCCUCGAAUAAGCAAUUCAACCAGCGGACGGAAGUCUUGUUAAGAAUGCGUUAAACCCAACGUUAAACCGUAAAUACGAAUAAUUCAAGUUCCCAGCGUCAACUGCAGGCAAGUAAAGGUGAACAACAUCUUGAAGAGAGAGAAAGACAGUUAGUCACACAGAGAGCAUUAGGAACGAAUGUAAUUAUAGUUCAUAGAGGCGAAUUUUCGUGGUAGAAGUAAUUAGAUUGUAUUAAUAGCACAAACGUCUAAUUUGAAUCGAAACUUUCUUCUGUGCACACGCUUAAUGGCUUAAAAAUAUUUUUUUAGGAGUUUUGGAAUAUCGAUUUUCAAUUAAUAAAAUAUUAUUAAAGUGCGAUUAAAUUGUUGAAUAUUCAGAAUAUGAAGAUCUUUGUAAGAUUAUAAUUUUGCACUGGAAGAAUGUAUAAAUUUAUAUGUAUAAAUUUUUAUCAUAUCUCUAAUUGAAAGUGAUUAUACAUUAGCGAGAAUUCGAUAUAUUAUUUCUCUUCAUUCGACUGACAAUAUCUAAACAAGAAAGGUACCAAUUUUUCUUUUUUCGAAACCAUUAUACUGAAAGAAAAAUUGGAAAAAAAUGUAUAUCCUCUAUUCUGUUGUUCAAACAAAAAAUAUUCUGAUAAAAUGAAAGUACAUUGUUCACUGCAUUAACCUAAUUUGGAAAUAUUUUACCGCAACUUUGUAUCGGGAUUCCUGCAGCUUUGUAAUUUAAUUAAACGCGAAUACUUUUGAAAUGUAAUUACGAAUAACACUUGUAGAAAUCAUUCGACAAUAAACAAUAAACAUUUUAUUCAUUUUGUUUAUCGUCCGAUGAAUAUUUCAAAUAUUCGAAUAUUUAAA